rnacentral:rRNA from 1 species
AACUUUCAACAACGGAUCUCUUGGCUCUCACAUCGAUGAAGAACGCAGCGAAAUGCGAUAAGUAAUGUGAAUUGCAGAAUUCAGUGAAUCAUCGAAUCUUUGAACGCAAAUUGCGCCCUUUGGUAUUCCGAAGGGCAUGCCUGUUUGAGUGUCU